GUGGCUGAACUGUUUGCAGAAAAGAGCCCGUUUCUCUGCAGCUCUGACAUGAAGGCCACCCUCCUCUCAGUCUUGGUGACAAUAUUCACACUCGGAGGAACAGGAGCUCAGACAGUGACCCAGCCUGAGGACCACAUCUCCGUCUUUGAAGGGGACUUCGUGCAGAUCAAGUGCAACUACUCGUAUUCUGGGAGUCCCAUACUCUUCUGGUAUGUCCAGUAUCCUAAACAAGCCCUCCAGUUACUCCUGAAACACAUCUCAGGAGAGAGUACCAAAGGCUUCGUGGCCAACCUUAACCGAGAUGAGACAUCUUUCCAUCUGAAGAAACAAUCAGCUCAACAGGAAGACUCAGCCAUGUAUUACUGUGCUCUGAGUGACACAGUAACUGGUUUCAUAAGGGAAGCAGAGCACAAACCCUUUAGGAGUUACAGAAAGUAACCUGAGCCAAAAUCAAGAGUCUGACACUUAACCGACUGAGCCACCCUGGUACC